CGGUUUGAUAAAUACGGAAUAGUAUGGUUUAAUACGUGUUAUUUAGAAGAGAGAUUAUGGUAAUGGUUUAGCGCGUAUAAUGCACGGGUUUUGUGUGCAUGUUUUAGCGCGAAAGCGCACGAGUUUUUCGUUUUGGGGUAUAUAUGAUUUGCACAUCUAGUGAGACGCCAUUCGAGGGUUGUUUUUGACAGGCAAAGUUAUGGAGCAAGAAAACGAAAGGGUGAUAAAGUAGUUUAGGCGUUCAUUUGCGAAAUACAUAGUAUUCGGAAGGAGAUUUUCGAUGAGAGGACUGAUUCUCUGCUAGAAGCGGAAUGGUGAGCUGGAACUUCGAACAAAGAAGCUGGACAGUUCGAAGAAUAAAUAAUGAAUAGUGUAACAUUAUAGUAAGAGGGCAGCUCGAAAGUGCAGUAACUGGACAGUACGAAUUGUAUAUUAAGUAUUGGAGAACAUAAAGGUAUGGUUUAUGUAGUAUGUUAUUAUUAUUAUAAGGAUUAUGAUUAUGAUAUUUUUUAUUUCCGUUUUAAUGUUUAUCAUUAAUUUUGUAAAUAUUGUUUUAUUAUAUCUGUUUAAUUCUCUUGUGCAUUAUUCGAUUGGUCAUUUGACCGUUUGUGAAGGCCAGAGUGUGCCUGAUGUUGAUUAGCCGUUUGGCUUGUGUGGUCAUUUGACCGUUUGUGAAGGCCAGAGUGUGCCUGAUGUUGAUUAGCCGUUUGGCUUGUGUGGUCAUUUGACCGUUUGUGAAGGCCAGAGUGUGCCUGAUGUUGAUAAGCCAGUUGGCUUGUGUGGUCAGUUGACCGUUGUUGAAGGUCAUAGUGUGCCUAUUUUGAUUGAAUUAAUUUUA